rnacentral:ncRNA from 1 species
GCCCGUCGUGUUUAUUUGGGCCUGUUCUUGGGCUGAGAGCUAAGAGGGAAACCGAUGCGUCGCCACCCCUAGGGGAUGGUGGCUAUGGCGGUGCUGCACCCGUAACUGUGAGCGGCGAGCGCUGUCGCAGUGUGUUGCAGGUGCGGAUAGGCAUUAUUGAGGCCGGAGAACAGCAUUGACCCGCGAACCAGCAGACCUGCCGCGACUUCUGUGCGCAA